GAACUAGCUAACUGAAAUCAUAUGACUCAUUAAUCAGUGGUGAUUAUGAUAACAUAAGGGAAAAAAAUGAUGUUACCUUAUUAUUAGUGUUGUCCAAAACUGGUGCCAGAAGACUCGGUAAGACCAGAGACGCAAACGUUAGUCAUCUUAAUCAGGCGUAAAGGGUUUGUAGGCUGCUUUAAAAAUUUACAACUUUAUAAUAGCUCUGUUAUCCUAAGUGAUAAACAUAAUUUGUCCCUAUAACAGUUAAGAAGUAAAUGAAUUAAAGCUAGGAUCAAAUUGAGGAUAACCCAAAUAAUACUUAGAGUAGGGCUUAUAUCCGUAGAUACUAAGGGGAAUACUAAAGGUGAAAGCUUUUUAUCUAUUAUUGAUUGACGCUGAGAAACGAAGGUGAGAAUAGGAAAUAGGAUUAGAUACCCAGAUACCUCUCACUGUCAACGAUGAAUGGUGGUUGUCAGUUUUAAUAAAAAUUGGUAACGAUGUUAACACGAUAACCAUUCCGCCUUGCGAGUACGGUUGCAAAACUGAAACCAAAAAAAUU
rnacentral:rRNA from 1 species